rnacentral:tRNA from 1 species
GGAUGGGUGGCCGAGUGGUUAAUGGCAGCAGACUGUAAAUCUGCCGACGUGAGUCUACGCUAGUUCGAAUCUAGCCCCAUCCACCA